GUGAGGAAUAUUGGGCAAUGGGCGAAAGCCUGACCCAGCCACGCCGCGUGAGUGAUGAAGGCCUUCGGGUUGUAAAGCUCUGUGGGGAGGGAAGAAAAAGCGGGAGAGUAACUGCUCUCGUGUUGACGGUACCUCCUUAGCAAGCACCGGCUAACUCUGUGCCAGCAGCCGCGGUAAUACAGAGGGUGCAAACGUUGCUCGGAAUUACUGGGCGUAAAGCGCGUGUAGGCUGACAUGCAAGUCGGGUGUGAAAUCCCAGGGCUCAACCUUGGAACUGCACUCGAAACUGCACGUCUUGAGUACUGGAGAGGGAAGCGGAAUUCCGGGUGUAGAGGUGAAAUUCGUAGAUAUCCGGAGGAACACCAGUGGCGAAGGCGGCUUCCUGGUCCAUUACUGACGCUGAGGUGCGAAAGCGUGGGGAGCAAACAGGAUUAGAAACCCUAGUAGUCC
rnacentral:rRNA from 1 species